ACAGAUCCUCAGCUGCAUGAACAAAGCUUAACAUACUCAAACACCUGGCAGUGGGAAUGUGAUAUCAUCUGUGAAGGGAGCACGUAGGAUCAGAUCUACCCCUAAUGGAUGUAUUUGCUGUGCAGAAAAUGGUGUCCUGAGAAUGUGCCAUAGCAUAUCAGGCUGGUAUCAGCUCAGCUGGAGAGUGGAAUGGUUCCAAAUUACCACAGUAUUGAGAUGGAAGGGCUGACAGCACAAGACAGAGAUCAG